UCCAGUAUUUUUGUAAUGUAUUUGGCGCAAGAAACUGGAGUUGAAGUAAACUUCAGAGCUAGAUGGUUAGCUGUCUGUCUAAUUACCCACAUCUUCUUCCACAUGUAGCUACGUAAGGAGCUUGGAAGGGGCUGAGAAAAUGGCUUCAAGUCCUAGAUCAUCUCUUCCAAGAGGAAGAUUUCACCUGUCCUGUGUGAUGUGACGUCUUCAAGAAUCCUGUCCUCCUACCAUGGAGCAGCCACAGCUACUUGUAAAGUCCAUCUGCGGCAAUGCUGGGAGUUGAAGGGGGUUCGGGAAUGCUCCGUUUGCAGAAAGAGAUUUUCCAUGGGUAAUCCUCCCUGUAACCUGGCUCUAUAGAACCUGUGUGAGGCCUACCUUGAUGAGAGUCUGGUGUCUGGUCAUGGUGAGAAAUUCACGUUCUAUUGUCUGGAGGAUAAGCAGCCCAUCUGCUGUUCAGGGCCUCAAGGAGAAGGGUGAACACCAGAGAGCACUAAAACCCUUACAAGGAGAUGCUAAAGUAUUUCAAAGAAGCUACAGAAAUCUGUACUUCCACAAUGCCUAACAUUCAGUAGGACGACGUUGAGUUUAAUAUAAGAAAGCAACAAUAAUGUAUUAGAUCAAUAUUUAAUUAUGUUUGCAUUUGGUUGCCAAAUGUUUGAUAGAGAUGGCUAAAUGAACAUUUUUCACAGCUAGACUCUGUAGUAGGACUGAUUCAUUCACUACUGUACCGAUGGCUAGCUAAAAUCAGACCAGAGUCCGUCAACCAGACCAGGGAAUUGGUUUUCUGGAUGAAAUGUGAGAAUUCCAGUAACGUAACGUAAUAACAGUUCUCCCACUGUCUCCAGAGACAAUUCCAAGACGCAGAGAUCGAGAUCUAGCAUGAAUUCAAAGAGUUUCCGCAGUUUCUUGGAGAUGAAGAGAAGGCCAGGUUUGACACACUGAGGCAGGAACAGUUUGUGAAGACUUCAGUUUCUUGGAGAUGAAGAGAAGGCCAGGUUUGACACACUGAGGCAGGAACAGUUUGUGAAGACUUCAGCAAUGGUUAAUAGGAUUGACCAGUUGAGACAAGAGAUGUCAUCACUUGUAAACACAAUUUAAGCUUAUAGAGGAUGAGCUAUGAGAUUAAGACACCUCAUUCCUUCAGGUCAGGACUGCUCUAAGUUAACAUGAUUUGUUGGUGCAUUUAUACUGAUAAAUAGUGAUAGAUAAAUAACAUAAUUUAAUCUGGUAGUCUGUUCUUCUGCAGAACUACAAGACUAUAAUGGAAAGGUAAGUGAGCUGCAUCCGGUCUCUCUCUUCUCUGUGUGUUCUGAACCGCCACUGACUCCUGAAUAUUCUUCCAGAGCCCAGUGCACACUGCCUGGUCCAGAUAACCAGCUGGUCUCAGGAGCACUGAUUGACGUGGCUAAACAUCUGGCUAAUCUGCAGUUCAAAGCUUGGGAGAAGAUGCAGAGGAAUGGGAUUGUCACUUACAGUUUCUAUCCAUUUUUUAAAAUCUUAGUGAAUACUGGUGGUGGACACCAAUAUUGAUAAUUAGAUAUGAUAUUGAUAUGAGCAAGGCAUAUCGUGAUAGGUUUAUUAUUCCUGUUAACCUGACCUGGCCCAAUGGGCAAUCCGCAAGCAGUUGUCU